UUUGCCACAGCCACUGGAACUAGCAGGGAUAUAUAAAAUCUCCAGCAGAGGUUCGAGACGAUGACCACCACUGUUGAAAAAGUGCAGGAGACCUCUACUCCUCCCGAGACUACACAAAAGGUGCUUUGAAUGAAGCCACAGCUGCAAGAAGGGAAGUAGAGACUAUGAAUGGUAGGUUCCACAUGUACGCUGGGAGAAUGGAUGGCAUACAGUGGCAUGUGAACGAAACUUCGGAUCGCUUGGGAAAUAUGGAAAGUAGUCUUCAAGCCAUUCAGGGCGAGCAAGCACAGCAGUCCGAGUCAAUGAGACAAGUCCUAUCUCGCCUCCCACCUCCUCCUGAAGAUGAUGCUGCGGGUCCCAGCUUCACACCACAGC
rnacentral:lncRNA from 1 species